CGCUUCGGUUGUUUUUUGUGUAUUUUUAUAAUCAGUAUUUUUCAGGUUAUUUUCAUCAGUUCAUUGUAUAAAGUAUACAAGAUAUGAAUAGUCCAUGUUCAAAAGUGUCAGAUUCUGGAACAACACACUUGAAUUUAAAGUCCCUCACAUUAAAAAGCUGCACAACUUCCCCAACUGUCAAUGUGGGAGAUAUUUCAUGGUUUUUUCCAGUCACAGUAAAUUCAUUGUUCUUUAAUCCAAAGUCAUGAUACUGAUUGAAUAUAUCAAUAAAGGUGGUAGAAUUAGAAAAUGGGGCUAUUAUACUUUUUUUCUCGUUCCUGUGUGGACACUCAUCGAUUGUUAUUGAUAACACACUUUGACUGAUGGCCAUAGCAGAAGCCAUGCCGUUGUUUGACUUCAAUCUGUAUCACACAAAUGCUUACUGUAUUAAAAUUUUAUUUGAAAUCAAACGUUUAAAAGAUGCCAUUCAAAGGCUAUACUAAACAAAAACCGUUUCCGGAAAAAAAACGAAAAAAAAUCCGGAUUUUUUUUUUUUUUUUUUUUUUUCCGGGAAAAAAAAAGUUAGGGUCGGCGCCA
rnacentral:lncRNA from 1 species